rnacentral:lncRNA from 1 species
UAAAUUCAGAAAUAACAUUUUGAUAAACCAAACCAAACGCUCAAAUCUUUUACAAUACCAAGUUCAAUACAAAAGCUUCAACCAUAAUAUGAAACUAAAGGAUUUACAAUCACAAAUGUCUUCACGUUAACUCCCUAAGAUCCCACGUUCGUUCCUCGACCAUCAACUCCUAGAAGGAAAACAAAACUAAAGGGCUGACCUAAAGUUCAGUAAGGUUUGCCGAGUAAGUAACAUUUAAUAAACACUUAAAUUAGUACCAUUAAACAAGUAAUGCAUAUUUCAUUGUACAAUCACUUUCAUUAAGCAAUUGAGGAAACACUUCACUAAACAAUCACUUUUAAAAGGAUACGGUGCUCGCAUUAGAGCCACUUCAAUGUCAUUGAGCAUUUAUUUCAGUGUCAAGAGACACUCAUUUCACUGUCAUUGGACAUUCAUUUCAAUAUCAUUGCACAUUCCGCCAAUUCACCUCCUUAUGUCCUCCAAAACAAUAAACAAUCCCCUACAUUUAAUAAUCAGUUCAAUAAUUUCCCAACCUCAUGAUAAUACUUGAGUAUAAUGAAACAUUUACCCAAAACUACCGUCCUACCCGACCAAGCCCUUUGCUGGCUCGAAUAGUCCGUUGAACAGAGAGUUUUGGGGCCCAAUUCAGCCAAUGUGAUAAAAUACACACACGGCUUACAGUCAUGCACAUUUACAAUAUCACUUGAUCAAUUAUCAACCUUCAAACUCAACUAAGCCGAGUGCGAUAAAGUAUCCUCGACUUAGAAGGCGAGGAACAAUUGAGAUACACUUUGCAAUGAAUCACUUAGCAAUAUUUCAUAAUAAGUACAUUUGUCCCAUAAUUUCACUCAAGUACACAUAAACAGUUAAACACGUAAAUUCGAAAACACUCACCCUAAUCAAAAGUUACACUUCGAUCUCGGAAUUGCUUUCUUGCACACUGUUGUCUCCUGAGACAAGUUUAGGAUCUUAAGGUGAAUAUACAAUUCGUAUAUGAUCACUUAUCAUUUAUUACCUUAUGAGUUAAAUGAUUAAAGUCAAGUUUUGGCUUUAAAAGAACAAGAUAUAACAAUUUCAACAAGCUCUCUAUAUUUUACUUCAAAACUUGUCUAUUUUUAUCAAUUCAAAUUAGGGAAAUAUACAUGUAUUCCAAGUUUAAAGUCUUGUAUGUUUAAACCAAGAUUAUAUCUUUCUCAAUUCAAUAUUUAAUGAUUAUAGCCUAUGAACACUUCAUUCGUUCCUUUUAAACUAAACAAGAAUCUAAGUUUAUAGUUUAGAUUUGGUUACACUACACCAGCUCCCAUUUCUUUCUCUAAGAUUCAGUUAUAUCCUUCCAAAUUAGGACAACCACAAAUAUACGGAGUAAAACAGAGGAUUAGUGUUGGUUUUGAUGAGUACAUGCAUAAAUUUCAGGUUACAAGAUGAAAUCUAAGGUUGGAAAAACAUAGCAGCACUCAGAUUCAAAGUUGAAAUUUCAUUUAAUGCAUCAAACAAUAACCAAAUUUGACAUGCAUUCAUCAGUGAGCAUGAUAUAAGAUCGUUAGUAGGAUUUUCAUUAAGAAAUUCACUAAAAUCAACAUUUAAAAGCUAUCUUCCAUCCACGUUUCAACAUAAGCAAAGUUGAAAAGAAAUCUAACAAACAUUCAGUCCAAGUGAGGGGUUUUCCAAUAAUUUUAUUGAAUCCAUCCCAAAUCAACAUGUAAUCUCAUAAACUAAAAUGAGGACAUGCAGUUCCGAAAUCCAACAAAACUUCCGAAGAAAUUUCAAUUUUAAAACAAGAAUUUCAACUAGACAUCCAUUGAACAAGCUAACAACUGUCUCACAGUUUUGCAGCCUUUUUACAGCCUUUUCAGCCCCAUUAAUCGAGUUUUCUCCAAGAAAAACUAGCAUGAAACACUAAGUAAGGAUUAUAUUAAGUAUAUAAUAUGAUUUUCUAGUUACAUUUCACCAAAUUACCCACUUAAAAUAAAAAACUCACUAUCGGCCAUGCAGUCCUCUAAACAAGGAUUCCAGCCACUAAAGUCAAGCUUUUCACCAUAGAAACUCACAUGCAUCACCCUAUAACUUUAUACAAGACAUAGAGCACGAAUUCCAGCCAUAAUUCAACAUAAAAUCCAUUUAAAUUGGAGAGAAAACCUGACAUCAACUAGUUACCAGGCUAAUGGAUUUCUAGCUUUGAAGAUUCACGUUUCAUGAGCCAAAAAAUGAAAUAUUUCUCUAGAUAUUUCGACAUACAUUCAUUCCACCAUAUAUUCUACUGUAUAUAGCAUGUAUUUCCAGCAAGUCCAGUCAAAAUUUGAAGCAAGGGACGGCAAAUGCAAUAUAAACUCAAUCCGGACAGAUUAACUCAAAUCAAGGGAAAGUUUGAUUUUAAUCUUCAAAAGAACCACAAGUUUCUUUAUUAAAACUAAACGCAACCAGUAAUCUUCUUUACAUGUAAAGGAAAUGAAGAUUUAAGGAAGUUUUACCCCUGCUUUGACUAGAGAAAGCUGGAAAAUGAAGAAUUGCUGCACUUGUUCCUCUCUUGGCUGAAGCUGGGAAAUUCCAGCGGCUUUCCUUCAACAUUUCCAGCCCAAACCUCCAACUUUUCAUGAGCUUUUCAGCUGAGCAUCUUAUAAAACUUAAGUUAAACAUAUUGCAUGCAUCCUAAAAUCAUUCUUCCAAAGAAAACUCUGGUAACAAGCUACAAUUCCAGCUUCAUCCCCUCGAUUGUUACAGUUUUCUUUUCCAACACUUAAUCAGUCACUAAACAGAAUUUUCUACACUUAGUCAGUCAUUAAUCUAGAUUUUCUUCAGCCAAAUCCCUUUAUUUUACUCCUGAACCCAACAUGUAGGUUAGAGUUAAUGUGUUAUGAGGUGAAUUGAACCACAAAAUAAGAUUUCACAACCAAAAUUCUUAGAGGGAACUAGAAUAACUCUCUUGGCCAGCUUAACCAAUCUUCCUUGCUAACUCCUGCAAAAUUUUUCACUUAAAUAUCAUAUUUGCUCUAGAUUCUUAGAUAAAACAAGAGAGUAAACAUAUAACUCAACUCCUAGAAGAAAAUUUCCUCCGCAAUUUCGAAUAAUAAGCUACAACUUGCUUCAUUUCCUCGGCCAUAGCAAAAUUUUCUUUCCAGCAAAUAGUCAAUCAUUAUUCAAGAUUUCUACGGCCAAAACUCACUUUUCUAAGCUAAAGUCUAACAUGCAACUUGAAUCAUCAAAGAUAUUAGAAGAAUAAGAUGUUUAUAAUGAUUUUUACCUCCCUUUCUCUGUACAAUCAAAGCUGGAAAAGAAGAAAAAUGCAAGCAGUCCCCUUCCUCCUUCUCCUUCAAUUCCUUAUGGUAAAAUGCUCCAAGCUUCCUCUUUUCUCUACCUCACUCUCUUACUCACUCAGUUGACUGGAAGGAAAGAAUAGAAUCAGAGAGCUCUCUCACUCUCACUCUUUCUCUCGGUUUUGGGUAUGGAAAAGGAAGAAAGCUUAUUACUCUAUUUUGUCUAUUUUUGUUUGCUCUCGGUAUUGGCUAUCAAAAGAAAUGCCUUGUUUCUU